rnacentral:rRNA from 1 species
GGGUUCACCCAUUGGUCAGGCUUAAUUGUCUGUACUGGUGAGAUGAAUCUCUACCUUCUGAGGAACUUUCAUGCCAUUUAUUUGGUGUGAUUGGAAAUCAGGACUGUUACUUUGAAAAAAUUAGAGUGUUUAAAGCAGGCUAACGUCUGAAUACAUUAGCAUGGAAUAAUGAAAUAGGACGGACUGAUUCUAUUUCGUUGGUUUCUAGGAUCACCGUA